GACGAACGCUGGCGGCGUGCCUAAUACAUGCAAGUUGAGCGCUGAAGGUUGGUACUUGUACCGACUGGAUGAGCAGCGAACGGGUGAGUAACGCGUGGGGAAUCUGCCUUUGAGCGGGGGACAACAUUUGGAAACGAAUGCUAAUACCGCAUAAAAACUUUAAACACAAGUUUUAAGUUUGAAAGAUGCAAUUGCAUCACUCAAAGAUGAUCCCGCGUUGUAUUAGCUAGUUGGUGAGGUGAAGGCUCACCAAGGCGAUGAUACAUAGCCGACCUGAGAGGGUGAUCGGCCACAUUGGGACUGAGACACGGCCCAAACUCCUACGGGAGGCAGCAGUAGGGAAUCUUCGGCAAUAGACGAAAGUCUGACCGAGCAACGCCGCGUGAGUGAAGAAGGUUUUCGGAUCGUAAAACUCUGUUGGUAGAGAAGAACGUUGGUGAGAGUGGAAAGCUCAUCAAGUGACGGUAACUACCCAGAAAGGGACGGCUAACUACGUG
rnacentral:rRNA from 1 species